rnacentral:rRNA from 1 species
UUUACCCCUUCUGUGCCGUAGCUUACGCGUUAAGUAUCCCUCCUGGGGAUUACGGCCGCAAGUUUUAUACUCAAAGGAAUUGACGGGGGCCCGCACAAGCAGCGGAGCGUGUGGUUUAAUUCGAUGAUACGCGAAGAACCUUACCUGGGCUUGACAUGGUGGUAGUAGUGAAGCGAAAGCGGAACGACCCUUCGGGGAGCCAUCACAGGUGCUGCAUGGCUGUCGUCAGCUCGUGUCGUGAGAUGUUGGGUUAAGUCCCGCAACGAGCGCAACCCUCGUCGCUAGUUAUAUGUGUCUAGUGAGACUGCCGGUAUCAAACCGGAGGAAGGUGGGGAUGACGUCAAGUCAGCAUGGUCUUUAUGUCCAGGGCUACACACACGCUACAAUGGCCGGUACAAUGGGUUGCCAUACCGCGAGGUGGAGCUAAUCCUCAAAGCCGGUCUCAGUUCGGAUUCCAGUCUGCAACUCGACUGCAUGAAGGUGGAGUUGCUAGUAACCGCGCGUCAGCAAUAGCCCGGUGAAUGCGUUCCCGGGCAUUGUACGCACCGCCCGUCACAUCAUGGGAGUCGGCAACACCUGAAGUCGGUGACCAAACCGAAAGGUAGGAACUGC